rnacentral:tRNA from 1 species
GGAUCAUUGUUAGUGGUUAUGCUUCUUGCUUUGGGUGUAAGAGGCCCGGGUUCAAAUCCGGAUGGGCCC